rnacentral:lncRNA from 1 species
CUCCUUAGCAAAAGCCUUUCCCAACUCACAGGGCUGGAGAAACGUGUGUCCCGUGAGCCUCCUACAAGGGGCUGGGUUACUAGGGGAGAAACCCCGGGCAGCGUCCCUGAAGUGCCUGCGGGCACAGGCCCCGCGGUCGUUCCCCUCGCCGCCGCCCGGAGCGAGCUGGGCCGGCGCCGGGCUCCACGCAGCGACCACAGCUGGGCAGGAGUCUGGGCAUUCCAGGCGCUCGGCCCAGCGCACCCGGAAGAACGGAGGGUCUGCGUGUCCGACAAACGCCCCCAAGAUGCCUUUCUCUCAUCCAGAGUGGACACUGCCCUUCAAGUUCUCGUCUCCAAGAAAGGCCUUGCAGGGAGAGCACAAGAUCUGAACAAUCCGAGUGAGCGGAAGAGGGAAGAGAAAGCCCGCGGCCUGCGAGAGGCGGAGGCUGCCGGGCGGCCUCGGGGUGCUGCUCAGGGCCUGGCCCGCCGGCUGCUGCUGCUCCUCCCGCUGCAGGUCAGUCAGGAAGGCUGGGCGGGGGAGCGCCUUCAUCGCCUCCCCCAGGGUGCCCUGGGUGACAAUCUCAGGUCCACCUGCAAACACGACAUGACUGCAGCCUGGACGCCAGGGCUUCCCGCUCUGCCGGCCCCGGGACCGUCUCCUGACUCGGAUGCUCUCCGCUGACUCUCCUGAAGGUUCCCC